UACAUGUGGGGCAAGCGUUGUUCGGAAUUACUGGGCAUAAAGGGUGCGUAGGCGGUUUGUUAGGUCACUGGUGAAAGUUUUCGGCCCAACCGGAAAAUUGCCUGUGAUACCGGCGAACUUGAGUGCGUGAGGGGUGGGGGGAACGAGCAGUGUAGCGGUGAAAUGCGUAGAUAUCAUUUGGAACGCCAAUGGUGAAAACAGCUCGCUGGGAAUGAUCUGACACUGAGACGCGAAAGCCAGGGGAGCGAACGGG
rnacentral:rRNA from 1 species